rnacentral:rRNA from 1 species
GUAGGUGGCAAGCGUUGUCCGGAAUUAUUGGGCGUAAAGCGCGCGCAGGCGGUUCUUUAAGUCUGAUGUGAAAGCCCACGGCUCAACCGUGGAGGGUCAUUGGAAACUGGAGAACUUGAGUACAGAAGAGGAAAGCGGAAUUCCACGUGUAGCGGUGAAAUGCGUAGAGAUGUGGAGGAACACCAGUGGCGAAGGCGGCUUUCUGGUCUGUAACUGACGCUGAGGCGCGAAAGCGUGGGGAGCAAACAGGGAUUAGAUGCCCUGGUAGUCCACGCCGUAAACGAUGAGUGCUAAGUGUUAGGGGGUUUCCGCCCCCCUUAGUGCUGCAGCUAACGCAUUAAGCACUCCGCCUGGGAGUACGGCCGCAAGGCUG